rnacentral:rRNA from 1 species
CUACGGGGUGCAGCAGUGAGGAAUAUUGCACAAUGGGGGGAACCCUGAUGCAGCAACGCCGCGUGGAGGAUGACGCAUUUCGGUGUGUAAACUCCUUUUAUAUGUCAAGAAAAUGACGGUAGCAUAUGAAUAAGCACCGGCUAACUCCGUGCCAGCAGCCGCGGUAAUACGGAGGGUGCAAGCGUUACUCGGAAUCACUGGGCGUAAAGGACGCGUAGGCGGGUUGGAAAGUCAGGUGUGAAAUCCUACAGCUUAACUGUAGAACUGCACUUGAAACUUCUAAUCUAGAGUAUGGGAGGGGGAGAUGGAAUUAGUGGUAUAGGGGUAAAAUCCGUAGAUAUCACUAGGAAUACCUAAAGCGAAGGCGAUCUCCUGGAACAUUACCGACGCUAAGGCGUGAAAGCGUGGGGAGCAAACAGGAUUAGAUACCCCCGUAGUC